GGAUGGCUGAGUUUUAAGCGGUGGAUUGUAGCCCCAUGCACAGAGGUUUAAAUCCUCUUCUUACCAAGCU
rnacentral:tRNA from 1 species